rnacentral:lncRNA from 1 species
CUCAUUUCCAUCCCUCAGGAGUAUAAAAUUGUACUUUGAACUGGUUUUCAAUACACAGACACAGUAUAUUUUGAAAUAUUUUAUACCGCGAGUUUUUUUUGCCAUAAGUAUUUACGCCUGAACGUUAGCUUAAAAGAUUUAUUCUAAGGACUGAUUCAGGCCGAAUCAGCAGUUAGGAUUUUAGGAUAAUGCAAAUUAUAAAUACACUAUAAAAGUUGUAUCUUGUAUUAAAAAUUUCGACAAAUCAUCGCGUGUAUUUAUAAUCAUGUUUAUAAAAACAAUACAAAUAGCACAUUUAAAAACUUUCCUAGAAGAAAAUCACACUCUUACUGUUAAUAUUUCCAUCAAAAUAGCCGAAACUUACCUUGCUAAACCACAAUUCCUCUAUAAAUGCAAAUAAAAAUAACGCCUUGCGAAACGCCGAAACAGUUUCGAAAAACAACACGAGGUCGGCAAAGUAGCCAAAAUCACUUACGAAAAAUACCAAAUUGCUCCUCUGUUUUGAAGGAAUUUUUUUCCAAGUGGAAACGACUUAUUUCAAUCACCAUCUAAUCCAAUCACUUCCCAUUUAAUUAAGCCAUUUCACAUUACGUCGAAUCAAUUCAAAACUAGUUGAAUCACUUAACAACAACACGCGCCGAGACCGCACAAAUUACGUCAUUUCAAAAUACAUCAAAUCAUUUCACAUCGCAUCCAGUCGAGUCACAUUAUGUUGAAUCGUUACACAUUAAGUUGAAUCAAUUCACAUUAAGUUGAAUCGUUUCACAUUAUAUUGAAUCGUUUCACAUUACGUCGAAUCAAUUCAAAACUAGCUGAAUCACUUCACAACAACACGCGCCGAGACCGCACAAAUUACGUCAUUUCAAAAUACAUCAAAUCACUUCACAUAGCAUCCAGUCGUUUCACAUUGAAUCAAUUCACAUUGUAUUGAAUCAAUUCACAUUAUAUUGAAUCAAUUCACAUUAAGUUGAAUCAGUUCACAUUUAGUUGAAUCGUUUCACAUUUAGUUGAAUCAUUUCAAAACACGGUAAAUGGUUUCAAAAUAGCAUGAAUCAUUUGUUCAUGACUUGUUAAAUCAUUGCAAAACACGUUGAGCCAUUUCACAUUGUCUACAUGAAUUAACACAUCACUAAUCGAAUUAGAACACUGCGAGGUGAAUCAUUUCAAGUUUAGAUGAAUUGUUUCACAUCUUGUCCAGUCACGUUACUACGUUAUGUUCAAUCAUUUCUAAACACAAUGAAUCAUUUGUGUUUAUAAUGAAUCAUUUCUGUUUAUGUCCAUUCAUUUCACACGUAUAGUAUUUUUGGUGGUAACGGCCGCCCAUAGUAUUCGGCUGUUACAUUUAAUAAUGCAAGAAAAUGAGCAGAAAUUAAUAAUUGAAAUCUUACGGACAUUUUAGACGUCGCUGUACACUGUAGCACUGCUUUACAACGGCGAACUACAGAUUAUCACGUUCUGUAUACAACGCUUAGUAGCUUACAUUUCAAGCUGGGACAACUGCUAUUUUAAAUUGGGUCCUAGAACUUUUCUCAAUCAUAAACCCAGUGUUAAUUUUGAUCCUAAAACUGUAUUAUUUUCAUACGAUAGAUGAUAAACAACAGGUUUUCUUGCAUCCCUGUCUUACUUGCUUAAGGUCGCUAAUGUCCGAACUAGAGAACCCCCCUCCCCCGGACAUCCACCAUGUCUCGCAAAAACUCUACAUACAUACAUACAUACAUACACACAUACACACAUUUCUGGUGCAAGAUUUUCUUUUCGGUUGCAAGAUUUUUUUUUCGAGUGCAAGAUUUUUUUUCGGGUGCAAGAUUUUUUUUGUGGUGCAAGAUUUUUUUUUGGGGGCAAGAUUUUUUUUGUGGUGCAAGAUUUUUUUUUGUGGUGCAAGAUUUUUUUUUCGGGUGCAAGAUUUUUUUUUGUGGUGCAACAUUUUUUUUUGUGGUGCAAGAUUUUUUUUUCGGGUGCAAGAUUUUUUUUUGUGGUGCAACAUUUUUUUUUGUGGUGCAAGAUUUUUUUUUCGGGUGCA